AACACUCUUUAGUAAUUUAUAUUAACUUUUUAUUCCCUUAUUUUAGUCCUAUAAACCAUCUUAUCUCGUCUUAAGAACAUCAACAAACUGGAAUGUCAAAAACACUUGCUCCUUUAAAUACUCUAAUAUUGAAUUAUACAUGACGUUUUCCCAUUUAUGUAUAGAUCAAACUUUACUCUCUGGCAAGCAAGGUAUCAAAAUUGCAUCAUGAUGUGAAAAAGAAUUACAGUAAACUUGAGAUACCACAAGAAGUUAAGAGAUUAUCCGUGAUUGUUGAAACUCAAGUAAGACUUUCUCACACUUUAAUUUUUUACUCUCAUGUUCUGACUUUUGUGUGAAAGCCAUAUGAAUUUCUCUGUUAACAGUUCAAUUUACCAAAAUGAAAAAUAUUAUACAUGUUUCUAUUCCAAGUGACAAUCAUAAAAGAAAUAUUCAAUUCUAAAAGCUUUUGAUCGCGUAUUAAUGAAUCCUAGAUGAACUUUCAAUUGUAGUCAUAAAAAGUAUAAAAUUUGAAACAUAAACCAUGUCAUUUGCAUUUAGAAAACAGUUUGUUUAUGAUUCAUCAAUUCAUUAUCUCUAAUAUCAACUAACAUAAUUUAUACUCCUUUUGAUUUAAUCUUUCAUUCUGCCACUCGUGUUACUCAUUACUGUUACUACACAUUUUCAUAAAAUCAAAUCACCUUAGUAAGAAGAAACAUCAAUGCCCAAGAGAACGAGAAGGGAAAAAAAAUAAAAAAAAGGAACAAAAUUCUUUUGCAUUACUUAUUUUCUUAAUUGUUUUUAAUCUAUAAAUAAAAAGGUUAUCAUGAACUAUGCAUAAGGAUUCCUCAACUUCUUCUUUAUCAGCCUUGAGCCAGGCAGAAGGUUUAAACAGAGGAGUUCAAUUUGUAAACAGAGUACCAGUUGGAUCAGGAUUCUAUUUCUUACAACCUAUUAGAAGAUACAGUUCAUAUGCUCCAAUGAACAUUAGUCAACGAUGUUGAAUUCGUUUCAUGAAUAAUAAAGAGCUAAUUUGCAACUGACAUAUUUUUACACCAAAAACUUCACUUUUAGUCUUCUGUUUGUAUAGUUCUCUUUAGCUUGAAAUUAUGAAUUCAUAAUGUGCUUUUAUUCAAAAUUCAUAUACUAUACGAAGGAUAAAAUAACUAACUCAUAUGAUUAGUCCACAAGAAGCCAAUAUCCAGGAAUGUACAUUACCAUGCCGAGCUAUUCUCCUAUAAUAUGAUCCAUAUAAAUUUAGCUUUUAUUUUUAUUUAUAAUUUUGGUUUUAAAAUGUAAUGUACAUGGGUAGUAAAUCUUAUAGAACUAAUCCUCGGCUUGUUCAAGCUUUGGACAUUCAUGUAGACCAUGAAAUAAACUGUUCUACUACAGCUACAUGUUAGAGAGAAUUUUUAACCGUUUCAUUGUGAAUCUACUUGUGAAGUGGUAUUGAUGUUUACACAGCCCUUACUGGAGCGUGGAGCCACUGAGGUUCUAUAAGGUCUUCUUCUCCUUGGAGCGGUGAGGUAAUCAGCAUUUUAGCGCUUCUAAAGUUGCUCUUACAAAAUUUUGUUUAGAAGUUUCUUUUUUGUAUGAUUGAUGCUACUUAAGCUGUUGAGUAAGAUUGAAAGUAUUAACAAGAUACCAGAGUACAUUGAAAGUGUAAAAAAUAGGUAGGUAUCAUCGUUGAUAGCAGCUAUUCCAAAUGCUCCUAUGCAUGGCUUAACUCCUGCAAUUCAUUUGCUUUUAUAAUCUCAUAUUCUCUAGGAACCGUAAGAUGUCUGGUUUUGGGCACUCUGUCUUCAAAAAUUACGAUCCACUAGCAAAAGUCAUCAAGAACCUUAUAGAGAUGUAAUUUCCAUUGUUCACUAGGAUCCUCUUAUAGAUGUCGGUUUGUAUUUAUUCAAAGUGGAUUUAGAUGUAUUUUUAAUUCAACACUUUUUAGUUUAUGCUGAAAAGCAAUCAAGUCUCUAAACAAGUUGAAAAUUUUCAAAGAAGAAGUAGUAAUGGGACAAACUUAAAUUAUGCCUAAUGAAAGGUCGUAAAAUAUGAGUAUAGAAAUACACUGAGCAAAUGAAACUAAUAGUUUGGGAACCUAAUUUUACUUUUCUGAUCUAAAAUAGAGAUUAAAGUCAGUUUCUGGUGAAAUCAAACUUACUCUUUUUGUCCCUAGAAACACAUUACUAUUGCUUGAUCUAAUUGGACUUUUGGGAUUAAUAGAGAUAAGCAACUUAACAUUUUAAAGUUAUAACCUAUCAAUAACUGCCUUGUACACUGGAAAAUGGGAAUACCCUACCCCUGACUCCUAACACUUUUUCACUGGACACAUCAAAGACAAAGUGUCCAACACUAGGAUGAAAAAACAAGUGAUGGAUAUUGGGACAUUUCUUAGGAGUGGUGAAGCAUGUAGACUGGUAACAUGGGCCUCUUGUUUCGUUGCUGUUUGUCAUUUUAUGAAUGUACGCAAAGGAAUGAUCCCUGUGAGCACGUGGCAAGGCAGUUGGAUUGGAACUUUUUACUUUUCCCCCUCAUAGCGCACUUUAUUUUCAAUACAAGUGAAAUUGAUAUUGCAAUUUAAAUGAUGUAAAUUAUUAAUAUAGUUUUGAUGGUUGUGGUUCUCCUUGCAGGGUAAAGAUAUUCUAUAUUGUGGCACCAUUUUAAAUUCUUAUAGAUUAAAAAAAUAUAUUGUGCUUAAAAAUGUCAUUUUGAGUCUAAACUUGCAACUUAUAUGCAUUAAUAGACAUCUACUUCUGGGUGUCCCAGAUUUUUGUCAUUUGUAGGUAGACAUAGCUUUGGAAAAAGCUGCUUUGAUCAGAUGAGUAUUUUAUGAAGAAUUCGUAUCACAAUGUUGACUUUUGUUCUCGGUCAAGCUAUAGGUAUGCAUAGAAUCUUCACCACAUCUGGUUCUUAUUUUUUUUCUUUUUAUUUUUUGUUGGGGAGGGAGGGAUUAUUAUAUAAGUUCUUUUAACAUUGACAACAUUCGAUACUGCUAUCCACGUUAAUAAAUUUUCUCUCAGAGUUCUUCUCCAUUCUAUUUGCAAUUCCUCAAAUGGUUGGCUAUUUAUCUCACUAGCGCAAUUCUUUGGACGAUCCUAAUACAAAGAUAAUGAGACCUGCCCGGUUCAUUUUAAACACCCUUCAUCUAUCUUUUAGGGAAAAAAAAAAAAAGAAUAUCAUAUCUGCUUUCUUGUCCUUGUCUCUGUCUUAAUCUUUGUUUUGCUUUGUAGGUAUAAAAUGGCGUAUGUUUACAACUUUAUAGGCAUUAGCUACAACAAGAAUGAAUACAAUCAACAGACGGUGUUGGUCUCCAAUGUCAAUAUGAAACGGCUAAUUGAAUGUAGCCAUCAUGGGAUGUAUACUCUUCCAUAGCCUACACAAAUCAGAAUGCCAAGGUAAAUUCACAAUUGUUCAAAAACAAGUAAUAAUUUUUAAAUUUUCGUACAUCCAUAAAUUGUUAGGCUAAAUUUUGCUUCUCAUAAAUCCAUCUUAAACUGUUUAUGUAAGACAACAUAAAGCAUACAAUUUGUAAUAGUAGUCAAAUGAAUUCAUAUACCUUAUUUCAAAAUAAUGGACAUUCCUCUCAAUUUUCUUUUCAUUUGGAAUAGAAGUGCUCUGUUUUUGUUCUAUGAAAUUCAUUGGAGAAGGUUAUUUCUCAUUUGAAUGAUCCUUUAGGGGUCUUGAUUAGUGCAUCGGCACUUCCACUGAAUCAAAUGGCUCAGUUCAUUCUAACCUUUCCCUCAAACGCAUUUGUAGCAAAGGUAGAAGCGUGGUGCGGCAUGUUUAUACGAUGCCCUUGAGGCUUUACUAUCGUCAAUAAAUGCAAUUGUAAUAAAUCAGAACUCCAAUUGUUUAUCAUCAAUAAAUGCAAUUCUUGUCUUACCAAUAUUGUUCACCUGUAUAAUUACAAUUGCACAUUUUCCUCACUCGAUAAUUUCGUUUCAUGUGAUGUAGAAAAGCAGCGAGACAAGUAAUCACAAUAUCCAAACUGAGUACGAAAAUGAUCUACCAAAUUAAUUUAUAAAAUUUUUGUCAUUAAUUUGUUUUAAUAUAUACUUCUUUAGUCACUUCAUUUUGUCAUUAAUUUAUAAAAUUUUUGAAUCUCAGAUGAAAGUAGUUUAAUAUUAGCUUGCUCGAUGCAAAAAUCCAAAUUUGUUUUAACAAAAAUCUUCAACCUUUUCCUGAUAAUAUGCACCACGCACACCCUCUGAGUUCGCAAGCAUUUUGUUAGCAAACUUUCAGGUAGCACCCUACUCCUCUUGGGCAAGCUAGCAUCAAAUCCAAUUGAAGAGAUUUUUAUUCAUCCAAUCAUAAUCUAUUUGUAUGCAAAUGUUAAUAUGCUGGCUUAUAGUAUUUUCUUAACUAUAGUUCAUUUUUCUUUUUCAAGAAAAAGUUUAGUACAAUAUAGUGAUGAGGCCUAAUUUCAUGGAUGAAAUUGAAUGUGGAAACUUCUUUGAUCAAAUUGUUGACUUCAUUGAGCUUUUCCCUGAAAACGAGGGUGCUGGUGGUGGCCUUGCUGGUAAUGGUGAUAUCAAGGAUUUUUGAGCAUUUAGGACAGUGUGUUUCCAGAUACCGACCCCAUUUUCUCCAGCAGCAAGCAAGCUUUAUGGGUAACUUUUUAAAUUCUAUAUUCAAAUUCUGACUUUAAAUUCACUUUUUAGCUUCUAUUUGUUGUAAAUCACCAUGUCCCUACAGAAACUUGAGGUAAAGGUGGCAUUGAGAAAUCCAUAUAAGUUUUAUUUCAAGAGGAUUAAAACAAAAAAAUCUGGUGUAUUCUACAUGCUAAAGUGAGAUAACAAAUUCUGUAAUUACUAUUUUCUUAUAUAUAUAUAUAUAUAUAUAUAUAUAUAUAUGUUUGCAUUUAAUUGUACCUCACUUGUUUACAAUUGUAGGAACCUGGCAAAUAAGUACCCAAAAGAUGAUCUAGAAUAUAUUCUGCUAACAAAGGUUUGAUUUAUUUACAUUUCUAUUUACUUUAAUCAUUACACUCAUUUGUCAUAUGUCCCCCAUUAUUGUUAUUAGUCUAGACACAAUUGCCGGUGAGAUACUAUAUAUUUUUUAAAUGAACUAAUGAUCAUGUGAUGCUCCCAUAAUAUAUAAAAUUAUUAGUUUGUCAUGGUUAACACUUCCUUUGUUACAUUUUCUUCUUGUCUUAAUUGUUGUAUUACGACCCAAAACUAAAAGAGAAAUUUUAAAUCUGUAAAUUCUCAUCUUCAUCCAGCUAUAUUCAACAAAACCUUUUAAUCUAGAUAUGUAAAAUCAUUCUUCAGUUGUACCAAAUUUGUUUCAUCUACAAAAUCUGCAAGUGACCUUUUAUGUUGAGCUAUGUAAACUCAAUUGCAUCAUCUGUAGUUAUGUUGUUGCUGUUGCUAAACUUGGAUGAUGUUUGUAGUGAUACUAUCUUUCUAAAGGUGCAAUUUUCUUUUUUUAAGCUAUCAUAAUGGGAUUGUUACCUCCCCUACCACCAAUAUUAUCCUUCGAAGGCUCAAUUUAAUAGCUUGAAUGCUAGGAUGCCAAUGAUGCAGAUUAAUUUGGUGGGGAACUAUGGGAAUAAGUAAUAAUUUGAAGUGGUCGAAUGGACUGAAUCCUGAAAUAUAAGGGAAAUUUAAAUUGUUUUGUAAUACGGGAAAUUAGAAAAAUAGAUGCCAAUAUUGAAGCCAGGAAGAGCAUAGUAAAAGAAUUAAGGAAAUUAUUAGAAAAUCAUUUACAUGUAAUAUUCCUACCCCACAUUUGCUUAGAUAGAAUUUGAAUGGACUAAAUCCUGUAAAUUUAAGAGAACAUUUUAAGAGAUUCAUUGUACUUGAAAAUAAUUUGUUGUGUGAUACAUGAAAUUGAAGAAAUUUAUGCGAAGCAAGAAGAGAAAAUUGGGGAGCUGGAAAAGGUAAAUGCCAAUUUUGAAGUCAUGAAGAGUGAUGUAAAAGAACUAGGGAAAAUGUUAUAUUAUUUACUUAAAAAAGUUCCAACCCCAUGUUUGCUUAGAAUUUGAACCUACGAUUUAUACUUGAUAGUUAAUUCACCUUUAAAUUGUGCUUUAAUUUUUUUCUGAAAAAACAUUUAAUUUUUUACAUUAAUGUCACUUCCUUUCAAAAACGCAAGGAAAAUGCAAUUAUUGUGAACCCAAAUCAAUUCCUUAUAGAAACUCAAGGAAUAGGUGGCUCUUAGACAUUGAAUACAUACAUAUCAGGAGCAUAUGAUAGAUUUAAAGUAAUACAUACAUAUCAGGAGCAUAUGAUAGAUUUAAAGUAAUACUUUUAUUCUUUAAUUUUAUUUUUUUCCAAUCUAGAUAUCAUGUUACUUAUCCUAUUGAAAGAAAUUGAGCACUUUAUUUUUCUUCAAGCUUAAAUUCUUGAACCUUUCAUUUCUUUAUUUCAACUUUAAUACAUGCACUCACUUAUUUGAUAUCAAUAGUUGCCAUUUUCUUUUAUCUUCACUAUUUUUUUCAUAUGUUUUUGUCUCCAUCUUCUACUCCGUCUACUUAGUAGAGGUCACCUAAACCAUUCCUUGUACUGAAUAUUUAAACAAGCUUCAUUUUGGAAAGUUACAAAUUUGGCAUAACUGGGUUGAUAUUGUCAUUCAAUGAAGUCUUAUUGGUCUUUUUUUUUUCCUCAUUCAUUUACACCGUUGUCCAUCACUAACCUAUCAUUUUCUUGUUUGUGAUUAUGUUUUACAAAUUGCAAGUUUCCAUUAUUAUAAUUCACUGUUCAUAUUUUUCAGUUUUAACUAUAUGCAUCUCUUGAUGUUUAUUUUCCUCCCUAGAUUUUUUAAGCAUUUGAGUCGGUAGAGCUUGUGCAACUUCCCACAAAUUCAGAGAUGGGACAUUGCAAUGGUUUCGAGUUUGUUUAGGUCAGUAUUUUGUGGAAGUUGAUUGUUUUGAAAAGUGUGUUGCAAUAACUAGGAUUCUAAUUUUCUACCUUAUCUUUGAAUAUGAGUUUUAUUGAUACAUCAUUGCAGUUUGCACAACUUGAACAUGCA
rnacentral:lncRNA from 1 species